rnacentral:rRNA from 1 species
UGGGGAAUUUUGGACAAUGGGGGCAACCCUGAUCCAGCCAUGCCGCGUGCGGGAAGAAGGCCUUCGGGUUGUAAACCGCUUUUGUCCGGGAAGAAAAGAUCUCUCCUAAUACGGGAGGUUCUUGACGGUACUGGAAGAAUAAGCACCGGCUAACUACGUGCCAGCAGCCGCGGUAAUACGUAGGGUGCGAGCGUUAAUCGGAAUUACUGGGCGUAAAGCGUGCGCAGGCGGUUCGGUAAGUUGGAUGUGAAAGCUUCCGGCUCAACUGGGAGAGGUCGUUCAAUACUACCGGACUUGAGAGUGGUAGAGGGAGGUGGAAUUCCCGGUGUAGUGGUGAAAUGCGUAGAUAUCGGGAGGAACACCAGUGGCGAAAGCGGCCUCCUGGACCAUUUCUGACGCUCAGACGCGAAAGCUAGGGGAGCAAACGGGAUUAGAGACCCCGGUAGUCCUAGCUGUAAACGAUGUGAACUUGGCGUCGGUGGUGUAAAAACCAUCGGUGCCGAAGCCAACGCGAUAAGUUCACCGCCUGGGGACUACGGCCGCAAGGUUA